CGAGCAAAGCAUGCGCGCAGCUGUAUGGGAUUCUUGACGGAUGCUUCCCUCUGAAACUCGCUCGUGUUCGGCAGCUGGCAAAUCCGGCGGUCUAAAGCGCCCCCACGGCGGUUCCGUUCACUGAUAACCGCCUAGAGGCGGCGGCGGCUCUCCUGCUCGGCCAUUGAUGUUACAUCUUCCUUUCGUUAACAUCAAAUCUCAGCCAAGUUUCACAACCUUCUGUACUCUUUUCGUUCGGGGUUCUCAAUAACAUCGCACUUCGAUUUUGGUGCUUGGCAGCGUCUUCGAAUUGGUGCAAUUCCGUAAUCUUUCUGUUUGAGGAGCUGUACAGGGAGUUGAAGUGUCGGUAGAGAAGGAUUGGAGGCGUGGACCGGCCAAUCUGAAUAAAAUCCAAGUAUGAGAACGGGGAAAAGCAAUCAGGAAGAUGAAGAGUAUGAGGACGACGAGAUGGUUGCUAAAAGAGAGGGGCCUUCUUCUACUUCCAACGCUAAUAGUAGCAUCGGAAAUAGCAAAGAUGCGAAGAACAACGAUAGGGCUAAUGCCAUACGGUCGAAGCACUCUGUCACCGAGCAGCGCAGAAGAAGCAAGAUAAAUGAGAGAUUCCAGAUUUUGAGAGAUCUUAUACCUCACAGCGAUCAGAAGAGAGAUACCGCGUCAUUUUUAUUGGAGGUGAUUGAGUAUGUUCAGUAUUUACAGGAGAAGGUGCAGAAGUACGAGGGUUCUUAUCAGAAUUGGAGUGGGGAGCCUACUAAGUUAAUACCAUGGAGAAACAGUCAUUGGCGUAUGCAGACUUUUGUUGGUCAUCCACAGUCUGUAAAAAAUGGUUCUGCUUCAGGACCAACGUUUUCAGGGAAGUUUGAUGACAACAACAUUUCAAUUUCCCCAGCCAUGCUUGCAAGCUCACAAAAUCCCCUCGACUCCCAUUCAGGCAGAGAUGUUCUGCAGGAUGCUGACAUAACAAAUAAAGUUCCACUUCCCAUGUCUCUGGAAGGAAAUAUACAUGCUUCUAUCCGUAGUGACGGUGUUCUUGAUCAAUCUCUCCAGAUUCCAAUUUCCGGUGGACAGGCAACGGAGUGUCCCAUCGCCAACAAUGCAUCAAGCCAACCGGAAGAGAUGGCUAUUGAAGGGGGUACAAUAAGCAUUUCAAGUCUUUAUUCAGAAGGGUCAGUUGUUAUUGAACAGCUUGACUCAAGCUCUGCAGAAUACUGGACUGGAUUUGUCACAGGCUAGUGUCUCCAUUCAGGUUGAUCUUGGAAAGAGAGCAAAUAAAGGUCUCCCAUUUGGAAUGCCCAUUUUUAAGGAAACUGGCAACCCUUCCUCCUCCGGCCACCCUGCAAUGGCACACGUAGGGGACCUGGGUAGUGGAGAUGACUCAGAACAAGUGAAAAAGCGGCUAAGAACAUGACGAUCUGGCAACUCGAGUCCCCGGUUUAUUACACUGCACACCGCAUGGUUACUGUUUUUAUUGUGAAUCUCUGAAUGUGAUGUCUAUUGUACAGAUCCUCUUUUUUUUAUCUUGCUUGGCAUUUUACACAAUUUCUUCAAGCUCAUAUUGCUAUAACCAUCAGUGUUAGGAAAUCCAAGUUAAAAUUUGGUACUCAGUUCCAAAUUCUCCAGUUUCCAUUGCUCUGUAUUCUAUGUUUGUAGUUGUAUCACAAUAUAAAUGGGAACCUCUCAAACAGAACUUUAAAGAGGGCGUUUUAUUUCCACUUUACUAUA